AAACAACUAGUAUAGCUAACAUGCUGCCAGUAUUAACAGAUUAAACCCUGGAUUCCUCUCACAAAUAACCUAGGGUUUAAGAAUGUUGUUACUUGUAUAACAAAUGAACGUAAACUUAUAAAUGUCCAGUUUAUUACAAAUCCCAGAAUUAAAGAGGGUACAAAAUAUAAACUACAUCAAUGCCUUAAACUAAAUUACAAUUGAAAGAAAAGAGGAAAUUUUCCGAGCUGCUACUGCUCCCACCUUUAAACGAGCCAAGUCUCUCGUGGAUCUGACCAUAUGAAAAGGUCAGACUCACAAAGUAUCUUCAAAUGUAAGGACCUACAAUAUACAAAAAUGAGUAAAGGAAAACAAUGUCGUCCACAGGUCUGACCAUGUUUUAAGGUUAGCCCUACAAACGAGCAAAGACUUCCAAACCAUGAUCUUACUCUAUAGUUCUCAUCUUAGUAAAGAAAAAAAGAGGGGGAAAGGAAAAUAACUUAGACAUAUGCUAAAGGAGUCAAGAAUAUUAUGCACUAUUAAGGAGUGAAUCUGACCAUUUAAAGGGCCAGAUUCAUUUUCUUUUGUGCUACUAUCAAAGAUGAAUUUUUUAGCCUAGUUUUAUAGUAUAUAGACAUAUUUAUUUAGCCCCAGACAUUGACAUAUACAUCACAAUCACUUAAAAUUUCAUGAACAAAUGCAGUAGUUAUUUAAAGUAGUAUCAACAUAGGGUUUGUCGACUCCAAAUUCAACAAGUCAAGGAUACUAAACUAACAGCAAAGUUCAGCAAAAUGAAAACAGGUUUCAAUCACAAAUUUCGAACUCAAAAUUGAUUCUAUUUAGGAUAAACAUUGUUACAUACCUUGAAGUUGAAAACAUAAACAGAGCAAUGACCAUAUAAAGGUCAAGAAGAAGAGAACCAAAGAGCUUCAGCAGUCGAACACAGUAAUGAGAACAGUAGUAAAAAAUCCUAGAAGGAGACACUUUAGACUUUAAACCAUUCUUCUAUUGAUGGAGAAAACAGAAAUCUUCAAAGAAAAUCUUCAAUUUUUAACAAAACUUAGAAGAAGACAACUGAAGUUCAAAGAGUAUUUUCUAGGUUUUUUGAAAUCAGCUAUGCUUUCAGGAAUAUCUAUGCAGAGAAUGAUUGUUAAUCUCUAUUUUUUCAGAACCUUUUAGGCAAAGAAU
rnacentral:lncRNA from 1 species